GACGAACGCUGGCGGCGUGCUUAACACAUGCAAGUCGAACGGAAAGGCCCUGCUUUUGGGGGGUGCUCGAGUGGCGAAAGGGUGAGUAACACGUGAGUAACCUGCCCUUGACUUUGGGAUAACUUCAGGAAACUGGGGCUAAUACCGGAUAGGAGCUCCUGCUGCAGGGUGGGGGUUGGAAAGUUUCGGCGGUUGGGGAUGGACGCGCGGCUUAUCAGCUGGUUGGUGGGGUAGUGGCUUACCAAGGCUUUGACGGGUAGCCGGCCUGAGAGGGUGACCGGCCACAUUGGGACUGCGAUACGGCCCAGACUCCUACGGGAGGCAGCAGUGGGGAAUAUUGCACAAUGGGCGGACGCCUGAUGCAGCAACGCCGCGUGCGGGAUGACGGCCUUCGGGUUGUAAACCGCAUUCGCCUGUGACGAAGCGUGGGUGACGGUAAUGGGUAAAGAAGCACCGGCUAACUACGUG
rnacentral:rRNA from 1 species